CACGUAGGCGGCCCGUCAAGCAUCUUGUGAAAUCCCUCGGCCCAACCGAGGAAUGGCUGGGUGAACUGGCGGACUUGAGGCAGGUAGGGGCACGUGGAACUCUUGGUGGAGCGGUGGAAUGCGUAGAUAUCAAGAGGAACGCCGGUGGCGAAAGCGGCGUGCUGGGCCUGUCCUGACGCUGAGGUGCGAAAGCCAGGGGAGCAAAC
rnacentral:rRNA from 1 species